rnacentral:rRNA from 1 species
AUUGAACGCUGGCGGCAGGCCUAACACAUGCAAGUCGAACGAGUGGCGGACGGGUGAGUAAUGACUGGGAAACUGCCUGAUGGAGGGGGAUAACUACUGGAAACGGUAGCUAAUAACGCAUACCAUCGGAUGUGCCCAGAUGGGAUUAGCUAGUGGGGGGGGUAACGGCUCACAUGGGAGACGAUCCCUAGCUGGUCUGAGAGGAUGACCAGCCACACUGGAACUGAGACACGGUCCAGACUCCUACGGGAGGCAGCAGUGGGGAAUAUUGCACAAUGGGCGCAAGCCUGAUGCAGCCAUGCCGCGUGGGUGAAGAAGGUCUUCGGAUUGUAAAGCACUUUAAGUUGGGAGGCGUUACCAACAGAAUAAGCACCGGCUAACUUCGUGCCAGCAGCCGCGGUAAUAC